CCUGCAGCGACUUGGCUCUGGUUGUGCCUCACUGCGCCUGCCAACUGUCACACACUCCUCCGAGGCUGUCAAAAGCAGGACGUCGGGUGCAAACAAGCCGGCGGCGACCGCAAACAGCCUGGGCAAACAGGGACGACGGGGGUGUCGUUUGACCCGUACGGAAUUAGAAAUUAUGUUUUAAAGAAGUGAAAUCGAAGUGCAAUAUUGUAUUUUAAAAUGUCAACUGUAUUAAAUCGCCCACUUUCCAUUCCAUCUUUAAAACCUCCAGUGGAUACCAAUCGCAGUUAAAAUAAAAGUGAAACUCCUGGUCUAACUCCGGGUCCUCCUCUACACGUGCUAUUGAUGCUUUGGCCACAGAGGCCUUCUUGCGGUUCCUGGAAGUCCGCGAGUUCCAUUCAGCAUUGUUAACCAUUCCUCUUGUAUGCUUCUUGCGCAAGAAUGAUUCCGUCUGCCUGGUACUUUGCCUGCUGGUAUCUUCUUGUCCUUAAGUCUCAGCUCAUAUGUCACCUCUGCAGAGAGCCUUUCCCUGACCACACAACGGAAAAUAGCCACAAACAGUCUCCUCUCUAAAGACUGGGCCGUGCUUUUCUUCACAGGACUCAUCACUCUCUGAAACAAUGCUUCUAUUUGUUGUUUCAUUAUUAUCAAUCUUCCUCUCAAGAAUGCGAGCUCCAUGAAAGCAGAGUUAUUACCUUUUUAAGGGCUGUAUCCUAACCCAAGAAGGGAGCUGAAAGAACACGUGUCCCCUGCCGCCAUGAAUUAAAGGACUCAGUAGAACUUCUCCAGGAGUCUACACUGUUACCCACCCCGCCCUCCCUCUGCCUGCGUCCGACGAAACCCAAGCAAGAACAGGGGAAGAUGUGGUGAGAUAUUCAAAGUAAAUAAAGCUUAGAGAAAGGCCAGCCUCGUGAAUAGACAGAAGUAAUGAACGACUUAUUUGAAGCUUCCGAAAGUUCUCCCUGCCCAAAUUCUCUUCCCCACCAGUUUGCCGCAGCACCUAAAAUGUCACUGACCACAUCCCUGGGCUCAGGGUGAAGGCCUGGAGGGAGUGAGCAGAAUGGGGAAGGACGUCACUUUCUCACGGUAGCUUCAAGAGCAUACAGGCUUAGGACAGGACCGCCAGUACCUGGCCGUAGACAAGGAAUCCUUCCGCCCCUUUCUUCACCUCCUGUCUCAGCUGGGUGCAAGGGACCAAAUUCCAGGCCUGCUUUUCUUCGAGAUCUGCCAACAGAGAGGUUUUUAUCACUGCAGAAAGUGACUGUGCCUGUCGUGAUGUACAGAGAACAGCAGGAUCGGAUUCGGGUGUGAAUUCUGCGUGGUUGGGCAGGUCCACUCAAGGGCCAAGGGGCUCCUCCUCUCACAUCAGUUCGUUAUAAUUCUAAUUCAUGCCUCAGGGAAAUGACCAACUACUCAAGUUCUAGAUAUCGAGUCCCUUCCCCCCCCAGUCAAAACUGUGAAUAUUGAAUCCAUGGCUGAUGAAAGCCUAUUAUAUGCUUAUUUUUUGAUGACCUCCUGGAAGGCAAUGAUAUCAAUCACCAAAUAUGACAGUACUGUGCUGAGUGCACACAGUGUUUAGAAAGGUGGAUGUCAACCCUCAGAACUCAUCCCUGAUUUAAAGCAUCUUUGAGAGUGAUUAUUUGGGAUGCCAUAUUUCUAAACGCUGAUCUGAUCUGGUCUUGCUGUGCCUGAAAAGACAGAUUCUGGGGCAGGUUUUUUGCCAAACUUACAGUGUAAUUGAACUUUGAGAACAUUGAACGGCAAGUAAAAGAAACAAACCUGAGUGUUAGUGGUAGGAAAAGUUUUUGAUUCCUGCUUCCCCCCCCUUUCUGUCUCACACACACACACACACACACACACACACACACACCACACUUACAAAGCCUGACCCACAGAGCCAUAGGCCAUCCUCCCUUCCUGGUGUCACAGUCCUCUUCCUUUGGCUGCUCCCCAUUGCCAGUGAAAUUUCUGGGGCUCUCCAGACUACACAGCAGGCAAUUGUCGAGUGAAGAUAUGGUGAUUGUGCUGCGGCAGCCUUAUCGAUGAGUCUGUCAAAAAAUGGAGUUAGUCCUCGGGGCUGCUUAUCUGAAAUUGAGUGACGUUAUCACACUUACUUAAAUCAAGUUGGUUGAUUAGAAAUGUAGUUCAGGUUUAGGCUUCAUUGGAAUUUAGGUCAGUCAACUUCAAACAAUGCAUGGGAAGAAAAGGGAAAAAACCCUUCACGUUUGCCAUGGGACACAAAGGACACUACCUUCCAUUAAGUGACUAGUGGAGCUAGUGGGUUAUAAAGUUGAGACUGUAAUUUGUUACCUCUCUUGAAAUUACAUGCGGCUGAGAGCCAAUUCAGUCAGCCUUAAUCCAAAAGAGCGGGUUUAGCGGAAGGAUGCCGGUUGGCCCGGGGGCCUGAAGACCCAGCCUCAGGAAGGAGCAGCCUCAGGCCAUGAGGGUGAGCUCGGAAAAUACGCACAACAAAGGGAUCUCUCAAACUCUGCCUCUUACUUCUUUUUGUCCUCUUUGGUGUGGGGUUCAUUUUCUCAGGCAUUGUCCCACAAUGGGAAUUUGGCUGUCAACUCUAAGGCCAUAUUCUUCUAGCACUGGCACCACAAAGAAAAAGGCUUCCCUGCCAGCCUCAGCCAGAAUAAUGCUGGGCAAGGCCUCCGAUUGCCCUGGCUUUUGUCAUGUGCCAAUUCUUGUGAGACAGGGAAACUGAAGGGACUCUAUGAAGAACAGCUUUUUUUGCUCCUUUUCCUGCUUCUUUUCUUGCUGGGACCUGAUCCCCACCUUACACAUGACUUAUCGUACGGUGAAUGUAGGUCCUCCUUGGAAAGGCCAAGGAGUUAACGAUUUUUUUGGGGGGGGGGACUCUUCUUGCAAAAUAGAUAACAUCUAAGAAGUGACCAGUUGAGGUCAUCCUGUAUGUUUUCCAGAUACCUUGAUGCCAAGACCCCUGGCUCCAGGGCCUAAGUGACUUCUGGAGGACACUUGAGCUCUCGGCCUUGUUUUGACCAGUUCCUAGAUGCCUGAGAGGACAUGUACCCCAGACCACAAUUCUCAGGAAAACCCCCAGCCCCCAAGCAAAGAUGAGACUCCUUUCCAAGGAGUCUCCUCUCCUUUCCAAGUUUCCCGGACGCUCUGUCUGCAUAUCUAGUCUCUCUACAUCUACAGUAAAUUCUGCUCUCACUUCCUCUUGGCUUCUGAUUUAUUCCUAUCCUGCAUGAAGCCAAGGACCGUUUCGGUGGGUCCCGCAGGACCCCCUCUGGGUUCUCAGACCCAGCCAGCCUAUGUCACUUGGACUAAUCACCGUGGCCAGGGAAUGGGGUUGCUACUUUCAUCCUAGACUGAGAUUGAGUCAUGUGACGAUGCAUUUACCAGGAGGGGAAGAACGGUGCUGAUGUACAAAAGCAGGGAGAAAAGCCCCUAGAGACAUUCACAGGUAAUAAAUCAUAACUCGAUGCUUGGCAAUGUGUUUAUGUCACAGAGGUAAAUAUUCAUCAUGCACCCAAGUGCCCCGUGCCUCUCAUUAGAUUUACAAUCAGUUUUCCAAUUAUUAUUUUUUGUCCAUAAAAACAUUCAAAAUUACUUGAGAUCACCUUAUCAUUUUUUUAAUUUGUUCAGUUUCAAUAGGGUUUUCCAUACAGUUUAAUAUUUGUGGUGAAUUUUGUGACUGGCUUACUCAGUACGUCUUCCAACCUUGUUUCAGAAUUCUUCACUCCACGGCAGAGUCGGGAAAGCAAAUACUUCUUUUCCCAGAUCUCCUUGCUCCUAGGUUCUGGGUAUGCAUUCAGCUCUAUCAAAGAGAAGCAUGGGCAGGACAGCUGAAUUUGAAACUGAGUGUUAACUGGGGAGAGAGACCCAGCCCGAGAUACUGAUUUUGCUGGACAGACUGUAAUAUCAUGACAUGGUUCCGAAGCCGGCACUUGUCCUAGCAGCUGCCCAGUUUAGCAGAUGGCUUCUGAGCUGUGGCAAGAGAACUCGUUUUAGUGGUGGCCAAGUUCUACAUUAUGGCUUUGGAAUGUGUUCUUCGAAGCUCCCCCUAGCGUAUGUUUUUAAAAACCUUCCCAAUGAUUAUGUAAGUCAUGUAAAAGGCGGCA